rnacentral:lncRNA from 1 species
AAAAGCUAAUUAAUCUUUUUUUCGUAUGUAAUUUAUUAUUAGUGUGAGAUAAUGCAGAUGACGAUGAUCAAUUUCUAAAUUAGUAACUCACAGUCACAGUCACUAGUGCUGGAUCACUGCUGUAUAUUGCAAUAUGAGAAACUUUUAAGUGUGCUCGGAAUAUAAGGUGGUUCACCAUAUGUCAUUAUAUUAGUGAAGGAAGUUUUAUCUUUCAAGUGUCUUUUCACUUGUAUAAUGACAUAUGAUGUAUCAUCCUUGGUUCCCGGCACAUUGAAAAAUCUUUCAUUGCGAUAUAAAGAGAUUUUUCAGUGUGUUCGGAACACAGGAUGAUACAUCAUGUGUCACUAUACAAAUGAUGAGAUAUUUGUAUUAAAAAAUUAACAACUUGAAAAAUAAAAUUUCCCUCCACUUAUAUAAUAAUACAUGGUAUACUAUUCAUGUUUUGAGCACAAAAUAAAAAUUUCUCUUGCGAUAUAUAGCUAGCUAAUUCUUUGACCCCAUUAAUUACUAAUUAAUAAUUAAGUAAGAUUCCUCUCUUUAUAAACACCAUGUUUUUAAUUAAUUGCUGAAACUUGAACUAAAUAAGCAAGCUUGCUACACAGCACUAUACAUAUUUGUUUGUAUUUUUACCCAAAUAUAAAAUAUGCUUCACCAGUCGGUCUGCAUUAUUGGGCUAUCUAGCCAGGGGACCUUAUUAGUAAUUAGGGUUUAGGGUAAAAAUUAUUUAGACAAGAAAGGACAUUUAUCAAAUAAUAAUGAUGGAAUCGGAACCUGAAUACAUGUAGGAUCCUCUACUUGUGUCUUUUGGUGCUCCAUGUUUUGCAGGUGUAUUCAAAGUUACAUUUGAGUCACUUAGUACUACGGUCGAGUGAUAUUUGAACCACAUUAUUAUUAGCCAAUUGUGAAGCUUAGUCCAUUCUCUCUCAUUCUUUUAAUGUAGAUAAUAUCAUUUGUUUAAAAAAUGUCCAAAUAAAUAAAAAAUUGAGUGUAAAAGUUAUUGCCCACACCAAGUAGAAAGAAAAUAUGUCAUUCUGACAAGAAAGCUAUGAUCUAUAUUAUGAUUACAAUCAUCUUCGAUUCACGUGCUCGAGAAUUCGGUACUCAAUAUAAUCAUCAUUUGAUGGGAAGAUAUGAUGUAGUAACAUCUAAUAAGCAUAUUGAUCGUCAAAUAUUGAUUGUACAAUAUACUUAUAAAUAUUGUAGUCAGUUCAUACUAAAUAAACCAAAUUAGAACAUUCACAUUUAAGUAUGUCCAUUGGACUGUGAAACAAAAAACUCAAUGCAGACAGACCUUCAGUCCACAUACCACAGAAAUCGAUUGUCAGUUGACGUAGGUUUCUUUUCGUGUCUAGAAUUGGACUUAUAAGGCAAUAGUUCAGCGGCAUGUAACAUCUCUUGUCAAAUAACACACUAUCAAGCGUAAGUUUUUUUCUACAUGGUAAUGUAUUAAUAAAUUAAGACGUCAUAUGAUGGUAAACUCAUUUCAUAUAAAUUGCUUUUUCAAAAUUAACGCAAGUCAUAGUUUGAUGUAAGGACAAAAAACACAACACGCUCACACAUGCGUAAAAAUAUAUGAAAUUUGUUUCUAUUAUUUUUUAAUUAGGGGGCAACCACAUGAAAAAUAAGCCUGCAAAUAAAAGCAAUUUCCAGAUUCAAAUUUAACGCAAAUAUAACAUAAAGGGUUGUAAGCUCACCAGAUUUCAGAGACUAGAAAGACAAAAUUCAUGAGAAAAUCAGCAUAGAAACAAAUAUCCAAGUACCAUCCCUGUGUUCAUUCCAUGUUUGCAACCAUUUUAGAGACAAGGUUGCUGAAGUCGAGAAAACGCUAACGUCGUUAUCAAGCUUAUACGCGGAUAUAUAGGUAUAUAUAGAGAACCCCACAGUGCCCGGGAAGCACAAGAUAAGGACUUGGAUUGUCUGCCCUUCCCAUCUCAUACCCUUCUCAUACCCUCCUAUUUUUGUGGUCACGGUUAAACCACGUCAAGAUUUUAUAUUCCCAUUACAUUUUGUCUUAUUAUUUCUAUAAAAAAAAAUCAAUAUAAAAUGUUGACGUGCCUUAACUGUAACCACAUAAUAUAGGAGGGCAUAGGAAAUGCAUAGGAUGGUGAGGGCAGACAAUCCAAGUUCGACAAUAUGUGCAAAAAUUUAAGAACAAAUUUAUACAGAUAUGGAAAUAGUGAGUCUCAGUUGCAGAUGAAUUCCCGUCACUGGCUUCAGGUUAACUCAGUUCAUCCCUGAGAUGGAGCGAAUAUGGGCAAUCCUGGAAUUGAAAGAAGGUAUUAGAUGGGACAUUAUAUUAUAUUGCUUGCAAACAUGGUGAAUACGAUAAUCAACGAAAAAACAAAACAAUAAAAUUGCAAGAAGGUAAUUUAUUAUUAGUGUGAGAUACUGCAGAUGACGAUGAUCAAUUUCUAAAUUCAACAAGGUAAUUUAUUAUUAGUGUGAGAUAAUGCAGAUGACGAUGAUCAAUUUCUAAAUUAGUAACUCAGCCAGAGUCACUAGUGCUGGAUCACUGUAUGUUGCAAUAUGAUAACAUAUGAUAUACCAUCCUUGGUUCCCAUAACAAUGAAAAAUCUUUCAUUGCGAGAUAGAUAGAUUUUUCAGUGUGUCCGAAAUACGGAAUGGUACACUACGUGUUACUAUAUAAGUGAUGAAAUAUUUGUAUUAAAAAAUUAACAACUUGAAAAAUAAAACUUCCCUCUACUUAUAUAAUGAUGCAUAGUGUACUAUUUGUGUUCUGAGCACAAUGAAAACUUUUCUCUUGCGAUGUAUAGCUAGCUAACUCUUUGACCCCAUUAAUUAAUAAUUAAUAAUUAAGUAAGAUUCCUCUAUUUAUACACACCAUGUUUUUAAUUAAUUGCUGAAACUUGAACUAUAUAAGCAAGCUUGCUAGACAGCACUAUAGAUAUUUGUUUGUUUUUUUUACCCAAAUAUAAAAUAUGCUCCACCAGUCAGUCUGCAUUAUUGGGCUAUCUAGCUAGGGGACCUUAUUAGGGUUUACGUUAAAAAUUAUAUAGACAAGAAAGGAAAUUUAUCAAAUAAUAAUGAUGGAAUUGGAACCUGAAUAUAUGUAGGAUCCUCUACUUGUGUCUUUUGGUGCUCCAUGUUUUGUAGGUGUAUUGAAAUAUAUAUUUGAGUUACUUAGUAAUACGGUCGAGUGAUAUUCCUCUUUACUAGUAAGUGAGAAGUCUUUGGUUCGAUUUUUUGUCAAAAACAAAUUUGAACCAUAUUAUUAUUAGCCCGUUGUGAUUUAGUUUACUCCAUCAUCCCUUUAGUGUAGAUGAUAUCAUUUGUUAACAAAAAGUCCCAUUUGAAUAAAAAUUUUGAGUGUAAAAGUUAUUGCCCGCACCAACUAGAAAGAAAAUAUGUCAUUCUGACAAGAAAAUUAUGAUCUAUAUUAUGAAUACAAUCAUCUUCGGUUCACGUGCUCGAGAAUUUAGUACUCAGUACAAUCAUCAUCCAAUGAUCAGAUAUGAUGUAGUAACUUCUAAUAACCAUAUUUGACCGUUAAAUAUUGAUUGUACAACAUGCUUAUAAGUAUUGUAGCCAGUUCAGACUAAAUAAACAAAAUUAGAACUUUCACAUUUAAGUAUGUCCAUGGGACUAGGAAACAAAAAACUCAAUGCAGACAGACAUUCAGUGCACAUACAACAGAUGUCAAUUGCCAGUUGACAGGUUUCUUUCCGUGUCUAAAAUUGGAGGACUUAUAUGGCAAUACUUCAGCGGCAUGUAAUGUCUCUUGUCCAAUUACACAUUAUGAUGCGUAAGUUUUUUUUUUUUUU